rnacentral:lncRNA from 1 species
CAAUACAGGUGGUGGUGGAGCAGUAAUUGAUGUGGGCAGAGAGAUACAUCCUGAUGUAGAGAGAGAGAGAGAGAGAGAGAGAGAGAGAGUAGGGAAGAGAGCUUUAGACUCUGCAGAGCUUGAUAGCUUAUGUAAUACGGGGCUUGGGAGGAUGGGUGUCGAAACAGACGGUGCUGACUCCGGCUCAGUUGUGUACUCACUUGGUGACUCUGAGCAACUUACUUUCCCUCCCUCAGCUUCACUUUCCUCAUUCAGAAAAUGGAGAUGAUAAUUCCUGGCUGGUGGCAGGCACUGCCCUGAGGAUCGACGACACAGUGAACACCAAGUGCUUAGCACAGCACCUGGUGCACAUAUCAGAAAAGAUUAAACUUGGUUCAAAUUGCACAAAAUAUUUUGGAUCCAGAGCCGUGUCUGAGGCAUGUGGUCUUGUUACUUGUGUUCUCACCAGCUGUCCCUCCCUCC